UACGAAGGUGGCAAGCGUUACUCGGAAUUACUAGGCGUAAAGGGCAGGUAGGUGGUUUGAUAAGUCUGUUGUGGAAGCUCCUGGCUUAACUGGGAGAGGCCAACAGAAACUAUCAAGCUGGAGUAUGGGAGAGGGUACUGGAAUUCCCGGUGUAGCGGUGAAAUGCGCAGAGAUCGGGAGGAACACCAAUGGCGAAAGCAGGUACCUGGACCAUUACUGACACUCAACUGCGAAAGCUAGGGGAG
rnacentral:rRNA from 1 species